UACGAAGGGUGCAAACGUUGCUCGGAAUCAUUGGGCGUAAAGCGCACGUAGGCGGUUUUGCAAGUCGGACGUGAAAUCCCUCAGCUCAACUGAGGAAGUGCAUCCGAAACUGCAAGGCUUGAGUACUGAAGAGGAUCGCGGAAUUCCCGGUGUAGAGGUGAAAUUCGUAGAUAUCGGGAGGAACACCAGUGGCGAAGGCGGCGAUCUGGGCAGAUACUGACGCUGAGGUGCGAAAGCGUGGGGAGCAAACAGG
rnacentral:rRNA from 1 species